GCGGACGUAGCUCAGUUGGUAGAGCGCAACCUUGCCAAGGUUGAGGUCGCGAGUUCGAGUCUCGUCGUCCGCUCCA
rnacentral:tRNA from 2 species